GGAGAGUGGGCCGGACGGUAAGGCACAAGUUUGCUAAACUUGCGGUGCGAAAGCGCCGAGUGGGUUCGACUCCCACACUCUCCGCUA
rnacentral:tRNA from 1 species